GAGCCCCCCUCUGGGGCCUCCCUGGUCCAAGCCCUGAGCCACCUCUUCCUAUUAUGGAUGUGACCCGAGCAUGCCACUCUGCCUUGUCACUCAACAGAACAUGUGCGACUUUUGUGCUUAAGGAAGCCUCUGAGGGGGACAGUCGCCAUGCAUUUCCCUCUGGGACGCCAUCAUCCAGAGCCCACCCUAAUCUCCUGGUGCUGCCCGUGACCUCAUCUGGGACUGGGCUGGAGCAGUGCCUACUUGACAGCCUAAUAGAGAACCAUGAAAAUGGUGGAUUCAGGUUGGUGCACGGCCUCUGACGCUGGUCUGGAGAACAGCAGGAAGGGUAUUCGUAUGGAAGAAGCCUGAGCCCCCCUCUUCUCAGGACCCUGAGAGGGCACAGCCUGGCCCCGCGGAGCCUCCACUGGUGUGGAUCACGGCAGGCCGCCUGACGCCAUGAGAGUGGGUGGGCUGCAGGCCGCUCUGCCCAGCCAGUGUGAGUACCCGGAGGAGAGGCCUCGUCCAGCUCCACUCAGCUCAGGAGGUGGCACUGCUAAUGAGAGCCCCGUGUUGGUACAGCACUCUACAGUUGAUAGAGCUCGUUCUCCGGCCUCCAUGACCAGCCUAAGGCCAUGUGACCAAGAAGAACACAGCGGAAGCUGAUGGCCCCAGUCUCAGAGUGCCAGGGGAGAGACCUGAAGGUGAUUUGGUCUCAAGGUGCUCUAGGAGGGACUUGGAGGACCGCUGGUAGGACAUCAACGGCGGGAAUGGAGUGCCCGCUCCCACGGUGGCCAUGCCUGUUUCUGCCACCAGGCAGGAGUCCCAGUUAUGUGCUGACGGUCUUGCCAGCCUCUCUCCUAACCCAAGUGGCAGAUGACGGCGUCUCACUGGGGUUUCAUAACAUUUGCAGGGGCCCCCAGACCCCUCCCCUGCACGCACUCCUGGGUCACCCUGAGCCCUUGAGCACGGGCAGAACUGUGAACAUGACCUUGAGUUUAUCCUGGAGGCCUAACCUUAUCCUAACCUUAUCCAGGAACCUUUAAAAGAAGGUGAACUGUGGACAGGUGCGCUCCAGCCCGCCUGGGGACACACAGCCGGGAGCUGCGGGAGGCCCUGCAGGGCUGAGGCGGUGCCUGACUGGCAGCCAGCAAGACCCAGAGACUUGGCACAGCCAGAGUGGACUGGACUCUCCCAGUGACCGAAGGGCUUGGAAGAGGCCCCUGAGCCUGCAGGAGACGUCAGCUCGGCUGAUACCUUGACUGCAGCCUGGGAGACCCUGGGCGGAGACCCGGACCCUGCUAACCAGGCCUGGACCCCGGCUCACGUGCAUGAGUACGUUUGUGUCCACGGAGCUAUUGGGCUCAUCCCUCAGAAGCAGGAGGGUCAGGGCUUUGCAGACCCCAUGCAGACCCUCCUUAGCUCUCGGUGGGCAUUGAACCCGCCUGACCCGUGGAGCAUCCCGGCUUGGCCACCAGGCGCACCACAGAGCGUGGGCUGUCCCUCGUGGUCUCUAGCUGGUCGGGAGCGAGGGCUGGGCCACCGCACACUCCCUGGAGAAGAUGCUAAUUCAGAACUCCACGGAGGUUUCUCCUGAAUGCACAGCGCUUUCCCACCAAGGUGAAGUCCAACCAUCCUGAGUUGGGCUGUCUCUGUUUUUGCAGUUACUUGAUAUCGGUUUUCUGUUUAGUGUAGAGAUAUAAGGUUUCCUUAAAAUAUUCUAAAAAUUAAGUUAGUUCAAUUUUUAAAAUCAGCAUGGAGUUUUUUUUUUUUUUUUAAAUGGCUCAAAUUCUUUGAUACUCUUCAAGGGGUGGGCUUUGUGCCCCCCUCCCUGUGAAUCUGGGUGGCCUUGUGUCUGCUUCCACCCAGAGUGUGAUGAAGGGGACACAAAGUGACCUCCGAGGUUGGGUUGUAAAAGGCGGCACAGCCGCAGCCUGGUGGGUCAGGGAGGCCCGUGCAGGAGAAGCCAGCUUUCACACAGACUGCCACCCUGGGAGGCCACAUGGAGCCCUCCAGCCACCGGCCCGCCCAGCUCCUGGCCACCAGGCAGCAUCGGCCACCAGCUGUGUGAGGCUUCCACUUGGACUUCCAGCCUGUCAAGCCUUCAGAUGGACACAGCCCCGGCCAGCCUCUGACCACAGUGGCCUAGGAGACCCCAAACAAGAAAUGCCGGCCACGCCUCUCGUAUUCCUGACCACAACGUCCCAGCGAAAUAAAACAGUUGCUUUAGCUGUU